GUAGGUGGCAAGCGUUGUCCGGGAAUUAUUGGGGCGUAAAGCGCGCGCAGGCGGUUCUUUAAGUCUGAUGUGAAAGCCCACGGGCUCAACCGUGGAGGGUCAUUGGAAACUGGAGAACUUGAGUACAGAAGAGGAAAGCGGAAUUCCACGUGUAGCGGUGAAAUGCGUAGAGAUGUGGAGGAACACCAGUGGCGAAGGCGGCUUUCUGGUCUGUAACUGACACUGAGGCGCGAAAGCGUGGGGAGCAAACAGGAUUAGAUACCCUGGUAGUCCACGCCGUAAACGAUGAGUGCUAAGUGUUAGGGGGUUUCCGCCCCUUAGUGCUGCAGCUAACGCAUUAAGCACUCCGCCUGGGGAGUACGGCCGCAAAGGCUGA
rnacentral:rRNA from 1 species